CCAAGAUGGCAGUACAAUAGCUGGAAAUAAUGGCAAAUGUUGAGGUGAAAGAGGUGGCAGUAAAAUCGGGGCAAUAUAUAAACCAUAAUCGUUCAUUUUGUAAUGAUGGGUGUGGUCGCUAGGGGAACCAUAUGUAUAGGGUAGUGAGGGAAUGGUCCGUCGCCCAAAAAAUUUAGGUCGUCUUUGGCGACUUCAUUGAAUGUUCCUGUGUCCAGCAAUAACCAAAUUUCCCAUACAGCGAUUAAAGAUCUGUCUUUAGAGAAACAAUCGUAAGCACAACCGUGAUGUAUUUUCUAUGUAUAUUUUUAAAUAAUCAUUUGCGAUUUAACGUAACCGUAUGUCUGCGCUACAAAGGUCUAAAAAUGUUUAGUGGAUGUCAUGUGAUUUCUUAUCGGCUUCCCAUUGGUUUAAACGUUGUGUGAACGGUUUCCCAUUGGUUCGGUAGUUUAGUCAUGUUUAGGGAACAGUUGGCGUUCACACUUUGCGCUUUUCGGCAUUAUUUUCUUUAUCAGCUGAAUCUGCGUGAAAAACUACAAGGAAAGAUGUAGUUUACAUCGUGAUUAGUUUAACAUUUAAAUUAGAUAUUUGUAAUGUCAGAAACGCCACAGUCCUGGUAUUGUGAGCAGCGUUCGUCAUUUGUUUUAUGUUUUGAUUGUCAUUUCUAAGGGAUUCAUUUAUGUAGUUUACAUGAAAUUACAGGGAAUAAUAUAGUUGAGUUUCGUUAGGCACUUCUAACGAUUUCUUUUUAUCGAAAUAAUUGUUUGAGCCCCAAAACACGGCUAUUUUUUAAAUGAAUAAUUAGGAGGUUGUCAUUUUAUUUCAAAUUUAACGAAUUAUUUUGACGUGGAUCGCAACACGUCGGGACCAUCAAAUCACAAAUGUUGUUACUCGCCAGCAAAUACUUUGUUUCCAUGAUCAUGGAAAAUGGAAAAACAAUGGAAAAAAUCUCGUAGGCGGCAUGCAUCAAAUGGCCAUUUUUAUAUUUCUAUUAUUAUUAUUUAUUUGUCAAAAGAGUGUCCAUCAAGUGUCUCAUUUAUUAGAAAAUGGAGUAUUUCACUGAUGAUGUUUGGUUUACGGCACUUUAGCCAAACACCAGACACUUGAUUGAUAGGAGAUUGAUAGGAGAAUAGGAAAAAUGCAAGAGACACGUUGAUCAAAGAGAUAUGCAAAUUACGCGAACUGUUCUUAAAAUAUAGAUGAAGUCCACAAGGGAAACUGAAAAGAGCUGUUAGCAGUAAACAAUAUCUAGCGAUAGCGGUGGGUUCCAUUAUUCGUCGGAUUUUGACCAAAACAUUUAAUGUGCACCAGAAGUUGGCAACAUAAUCUUCAAAAAUUCCGCGGUUGAAAGGAAAGACUCUGGAGAGAACUUGUUGCAAAAGCCCAUUAUGAAAUUGUAAAAAUAGAUACCAAAUAAUGGUAAAAGUGGCCAAUGUUACAAUCCCAAUACUUAUCAAAUUUCAAAGUUGAUAUUAAGGAGGAACCCCUACGGUGACAAGAAGCCAGCAAAUAGAAGAACAUGGGUAUAGCGUGAUAAAGCUCCAUUUGCUUAAAGUUUAGUUCUGCUGAAAAAACAACUUGAAUGAG